AUUUUUCCUCAUCGCAACAUAAUCAAAGCAUCGAUGACUGUUUCUGUUUAAAUUCAAAGGACAUUCCACCUUUAACCUUAGCAUUCAUGAGAUACAAAAUGGGUUUUUCUUUCUGCUGAUUUAAAAAGCUGAUAUGAAGCUGCACAGUGCAGAAGAGGGCACCCCUGCUCCAGAAAAGAAGAAACAGAACUGCCUGCCAUAGACACUUGGUAGGGAGUGGCAAAUGGAAUCUUGGUUUGUUUUUCUCUUAGGACUUUGACAGUUAUUUUUCCUUGAAAAGAAUAAGAGAAUCUACCUAAAAUAUUAAUACUAUUUUCAGAGCUCUAGGAUAAUACAGAGUCUUUUUUUUAAAAAAAAAGGAAAGAGGUUUCAUUUCUGACAGUGGAUUUCUUCCACUGAUGUGCAUACUCUUUGAUAUGAAAAGCUGUAUGAAACUGCCUUGAAUUCAUUCCACAGAUGGAAAGUUGCAAGUACGGUAAUUAGCUAAGCAGUGGCAAGGCCGACCAUCUGAGGUUUGAUUUCUCAUCAAAGAUAGUGUCCGACACACGUGCCACUGAGCAUGCUUGCAGGCAGGAGCUUGGAUUGUCCUUCAGUAAAAUUCCAUUUUGAUGGGUGAAGGGAACUUGAAUUUCUGCUUGGCCUAUCAGAGGCCUGCAACUUGCACUUUCUCCCUGAGGGAACUGCCGCUCACCGACAUGGACAACAGUAAAGGAACUUGGUCUUCACUAUGCCUGGUGGUGGUGGGCCACGCUGCCCAGGAGGAACCCGCCAUGAGACUGGCAAAUGCCUUAACCAUCUCAUUUUCUCAUCAGGGAGAAGCCUUAAUGACUCUUUAGGCCCACAUACUUCCUGGGAAAACACGUCUGCUCUGUUGGGACAAAGGACGCUCUAGACCAGGCUCUGCUGAAAGAUCCAGGGCAAAGGUUCCUGACAAGACCAUGUCCAGCCUCAAAUAAGGCCACAGAAGAGCCCAGGCUCUCUGAGGAGCACCGGCUCCGAGGCAGUCACAUCAGGAGACAGAAACAGACAUGUUGGUGCUGCCCUCUCAGGUCAUUGCAAACGCCACUUGAGGAGGGCUGAGAGCUUUGUAGCAUAAAAUGACCAGAACAAGGAGAAACACAGAUGCAAUGGCAAUAGCUGGCAAUUCGCACAUGGCGUCAAACACCACUGCCACAGAAGCUUUUUAGCUACAAGCCGCGCUAUGCAACCUUUAAGCAAAACAUUAUUGAUUUUGUGGUUGUAAAAACAUACCUUCAACUGCAGAACUCAGUUUUAUGACACCUUGAACAAAAACAAAAAGUGGCAGUUAUACAAUGGACCCAAAUCGCCUUUUCCAGGCUUCUCAUAACACACGCAUGCUUCAGACCUGGAUUUUUCUUUUUCCUUUUUUUGCUGGUAUUGCAAGAAUGUAACUAAACAAAUAUCAACUUCAAAAAUAAAAUAAUGUUUACUCUUAA